rnacentral:rRNA from 1 species
GCCUGAGAGAUGGCUACCACUUCUAAGGAAGGCAGCAGGCGCGCAAAUUACCCCAAUCUCAAUUCGAGGAGGUAGUGACGAGAAAUAACAAUACAAAUCCCAAUAUGGGCUUUGUAAUUGGAAUGAGUACAAUACAAAUCCCUUAAUGAGUAACAAUUGGAGGGCAAGUCUGGUGCCAGCAGCCGCGGUAAUUCCAGCUCCAAUAGCAUAUAUUAAAUUUGUUGCAGUUAAAAAGCUCGUAGUUGAAUUUCGGAACUGGGAAUGAUUGGUCGGGCCUUGAUGGUUUGUACUGUCAUUCCCGUUCUCAUUUGAUGGAUACUUAUCUCUACUCUUAACUGAGCGGAGAGUAGUCAGUGAUGGUUAUUUAAUUAAAUUAUAAAUAUUUUUAAUAUUUAUAAUUUAAUUAUUAAUCCUCUCACUACUACUUUUGUAGGUUCCAUCUC